GUUUCUUCACUACAUAAAAUUAAAAAGACAACAACAACAUCAUGAUAUCAACACCACCAUAACAACAACAAUAUAAUUUAUAAUUCUUGGAACAUGCAUUCGUAGUAGCAACAACAACAACAUCAACAUAACAAAAAUCCCUUAUCCAUCACAAUAACACAAAUAUGAUAGUAAGAACAACAUCAAUAGAGAACACAAGAACAACAACUUAUAAUCAUGAACUUAAACAACAACACAAACAUAGUAUUCAUCAUAAUCAAGUUUCAUGUUCACUUCAACAACACAAACCCUAACUCCCCAGCCAUUGAUUCUCCUACCCAAAGCUAAAUCUAACUAUGGAACUCACAUGUUCAAGAAGACGAUGAAGUGAAGUUGUUGACGAUGAUGAUAAUAGCUUCUCCAUUGCCUUCUUCUUCUCCCAAGCUCUUCUCUUCCUCUUUCUCUCUUUCUCUUCUUUUCUCUUUUCCUCUUCCACGUUUUCUUUCCCUCUAUUACUGACUUUUCCU
rnacentral:lncRNA from 1 species